UAUAAUUUUGAACUCGCGCAACUCAUCUCCACUCUUGAUCCACUCUCAUUUCUCCUCUGCUCAUCAGCCCUAGCCCUGAAACUGUGUUCCUCUCUCAGUUUCUUCUGAGUUAGAAGCGGCAUUGCUCGAUUGUUCGUGAGGGAAAGAGGCUGAACCAAGAUUAGCAGGGAACCCUCGAAAUUUCUCGCUAUCAUUAUCCUCUGCACGUCAGCUUUGGCUCUGAAACUGAUUUCCCCUCUCAGUUUCUUCCGAGUUAGAAGCAGCAUCGCAACCGUUAGUGUGGGAAACAGGCCGAACCAAAAUUAGCAGGGAAGCGUAGAAAACAUUGCUGGCCAAGAGGAUGCGUACCAAGAGGUUGCCUACCAAGUUGCUACGUAAAGAAUUGAAGGAAAUAUUGGCAACCAAGAGGAUGCCUACCAAGAGACCGUUUGAAGAACCGAAGGUGAAUGUGGGUGAAUAUUCUACUCUACCAGCUAAGAAACUGAGAACACAUUUUAGCCCCAAUUCAUCAGGACCUACAACGAUGGAGGACGAUUGGCUUGGGGAAACUGGUUAACGGUCUUUAUCAUAUGAUGUCACCUUCUGUUUCAGCUCCAAAGUCUCUCAUUGCGACCCAUUCUUCUUUUGAUGUUUGGCAUAAAAGGCUUGGUCAUCCAUCUGAUUCCAGACUGUUAUUACUUUGUGAUUUGCUUUCUUUUUCUUCUUUUAAGUCUACCAAUAAUUGUCCUUGUAAUAUUUGUCCCAAGGCUAAGCAACAUCGCUUGCCAUUUCCUUCAAGCACUUGGGUGACUACUUUUAAUUUUCAGCUUGUUCAUGCUGAUAUUUGGGGCCCUUUUCUUGUGCCUUCCUUACAAGGAUUUCGUUAUUUUCUUUCCAUUGUAGAUGAUUUCUCUCAAUGUACAUGGAUAUUUCUAAUGAAAAAUAAAAGUGAGAUACUUAUGCAUCUUCAUAAUUUUUUUAUUCUUGUUGAAAAUCAGUUUAAUACAUCAGUCAAAAUUCUUGGCACUGAUAAUCGGUAGGAAUUUCUUAUGUUUGAUUUUCUUGCUUCAAAAGGUAUCAUCCAUCAAUGCACUUGUGUUGCUACGCCUCAGCAAAAUUUAGUUGAGCGAAAGCAUCAACAUUUGCUUAAUGUUGCUCGUGCUCUUCGAUUUCAAGCUCACUUUCCUUUAUCUUUUUGGGCAGAUUGUAUUCUAACUGCAGCAUAUCUUAUAAAUCGAAUGCCUACUCCUAUUUUGUCUAACAAAUCCCCUUUUGAAGUUCUCUUUCAAAAUUUCCUUCUACAACUCGAUGAUCUCUUACUGGUUUUUGUGUCUUUCUUGGUUCAUAUCUAAUUUCCUGGCGUUCUAAAAGGCAAACUACAAUAUCUAGAUCCUCUGCUGAAGUUGAGUAUAGGGCUAUGGCGUUUACUACUUGUGAGUUAGUUUGGUUCAUCUGUAAUCUAUUGCUCUAUAUUGUGACAACCAAGCUGCUAUGCAUAUUGCGUCCAAUCCAGUUUUUCACGAACGCACCGAACAUAUUGAAAUAGAUUGUCAUUUGGUUCGGGAUCAUGUUCAGUCUGGUUUUCUUCAUCUGCUUUAUGUGCCUUCGCGUCAUCAACUGGCAUACUUCUUUACCAAAGCACUGGGUUUGGAUGUCUUCCAUCAUUUACUUGCCAAGUUGGGCAUAAUAAACAUACACUGUCCAACUUGAGGGGACGUAUUAUGAAUUGUUGAUAGCAACAGCAGCAACAACAGAGUGCAGUAGCCUGAGCCUGCAGCAGUUUGUUAGUAACAGCAGCAGCAAAAUAGUUAGCAACAGCAGGCUAAUUUAGUUAUAGUUAUAGUUUAGUUAUUAAGUUGUUAAGAUUUCUGUUAUUUUCUUCUUGUAUAUAUAUUCUCUCUUGUAAACUGUUAUUGAAUUGUAAUGCAAUAGAAAUAUUUUCACAAAU